GACGAACGCUGGCGGCGUGCUUAACACAUGCAAGUCGAACGGAAAGGCCCGAGUUUCCUGGGCUACUCGGGUGGCGAAGGGGUGAGUAACACGUGGGUGUUCUGCCCUGCACUCUGGGAUAAGCCCUGGUAACUGGGACUACUACCGGAUAGGACCGUGCCUUCGGGUGUGCGGUGGAAAGUUUUGCGGUGCAGGAUGGGCCGGCGGCCUAUCCGCUUGUUGGGGGGGUAAGGGGCUACGAAGGCGGCGACGGGUACACGGCCUGAGAGGGGGGACGGCGACAUUACGACUGAGGCACGGCCCAGACUCGAAUGGGAGGCAGCGGUGGGGAGUAUUACACAGUGGGCGCGAGCCUGGUGCGAAGACGCCGCGUGGGGGAAGACGGCCUGGGGGUUGUGAAGCCCAGUCGGUUGAGACGAAGCUUUUGUGACGGUACCUGCAGAAGAAGCACCGGCUAACUACGUG
rnacentral:rRNA from 1 species